rfam:Haemophilus influenzae Rd KW20, complete genome.
AGUUAAGUGACUAAGCGUACAAGGUGGAUGCCUUGGCAAUCAGAGGCGAAGAAGGACGUGCUAAUCUGCGAAAAGCUUGGAUGAGUCGAUAAGAGGCGUUUAAUCCAAGAUAUCCGAAUGGGGAAACCCAGUAGAUGAAGAAUCUACUAUCAACAAGUGAAUUCAUAGCUUGUUGAGGCAAACCGGGAGAACUGAAACAUCUAAGUACCCCGAGGAAAAGAAAUCAACCGAGAUUUCGUCAGUAGCGGCGAGCGAAAGCGAAAGAGCCAGUAAGUGAUAGCAAUAUAGUGAGGAGAAUGUGUUGGGAAGCACAAUCAAAGAGGGUGAUAAUCCCGUAUCUAAAAACCAUAUUGUGGUACUAAGCUAACGAGAAGUAGGGCGGGACACGUGAUAUCCUGUUUGAAGAAGGGGGGCCCAUCCUCCAAGGCUAAAUACUCCUGAUUGACCGAUAGUGAACCAGUACUGUGAAGGAAAGGCGAAAAGAACCCCGGUGAGGGGAGUGAAAUAGAACCUGAAACCUUGUACGUACAAGCAGUGGGAGCGAGGGCAACCUUGUGACUGCGUACCUUUUGUAUAAUGGGUCAGCGACUUAUAUUUUGUAGCGAGGUUAACCGAAUAGGGGAGCCGAAGGGAAACCGAGUCUUAACUGGGCGAAUAGUUGCAAGGUAUAGACCCGAAACCCGGUGAUCUAGCCAUGGGCAGGUUGAAGGUUGGGUAACACUAACUGGAGGACCGAACCGACUAAUGUUGAAAAAUUAGCGGAUGACUUGUGGCUGGGGGUGAAAGGCCAAUCAAACCGGGAGAUAGCUGGUUCUCCCCGAAAUCUAUUUAGGUAGAGCCUUGAGGUGACACCUUUGGGGGUAGAGCACUGUUUCGGCUAGGGGGCCAUCCCGGCUUACCAACCCGAUGCAAACUACGAAUACCAAAGAGUGAUACUCAGGAGACACACGGCGGGUGCUAACGUCCGUCGUGGAGAGGGAAACAACCCAGACCGCCAGCUAAGGUCCCCAAGUCUAUAUUAAGUGGGAAACGAAGUGGGAAGGCUUAGACAGCUAGGAUGUUGGCUUAGAAGCAGCCAUCAUUUAAAGAAAGCGUAAUAGCUCACUAGUCGAGUCGGCCUGCGCGGAAGAUGUAACGGGGCUGAAAUAUAGCACCGAAGCUGCGGCAUCAGAAUUUAUUCUGUUGGGUAGGGGAGCGUUGUGUAAGCGGAAGAAGGUUCAUCGAGAGGUGGGCUGGACGUAUCACAAGUGCGAAUGCUGACAUAAGUAACGAUAAAACGGGUGAAAAACCCGUUCGCCGGAAGACCAAGGGUUCCUGUCCAACGUUAAUCGGGGCAGGGUGAGUCGGCUCCUAAGGCGAGGCUGAAAAGCGUAGUCGAUGGGAAACAGGUUAAUAUUCCUGUACUUGGUAAAGCUGCGAUGUGGGGACGGAGUAGGUUAGGUUAUCGCACUGUUGGAUAUGUGCGUUUAAGUUGGUAGGUGGGAAGUUUAGGCAAAUCCGGACUUCCUUAACACAGAGAGAUGAUGACGAGGCUCUACGGAGCUGAAGUAACUGAUACCACACUUCCAGGAAAAGCCACUAAGCGAAAGGCUUUACUAAACCGUACUGAAAACCGACACAGGUGGUCAGGUAGAGAAUACUCAGGCGCUUGAGAGAACUCGGGUGAAGGAACUAGGCAAAAUAGCACCGUAACUUCGGGAGAAGGUGCGCCGGCGUAGAUUGUAAGGGCUAGCCCCUGAAGGUUGAACCGGUCGAAGAUACCAGCUGGCUGCAACUGUUUAUUAAAAACACAGCACUCUGCAAACACGAAAGUGGACGUAUAGGGUGUGAUGCCUGCCCGGUGCUGGAAGGUUAAUUGAUGGUGUCAUCGAAAGAGAAGCACCUGAUCGAAGCCCCAGUAAACGGCGGCCGUAACUAUAACGGUCCUAAGGUAGCGAAAUUCCUUGUCGGGUAAGUUCCGACCUGCACGAAUGGCAUAAUGAUGGCCAGGCUGUCUCCACCCGAGACUCAGUGAAAUUGAAAUCGCCGUGAAGAUGCGGUGUACCCGCGGCUAGACGGAAAGACCCCGUGAACCUUUACUAUAGCUUGACACUGAACAUUGAAUUUUGAUGUGUAGGAUAGGUGGGAGCCUUUGAAGCAGUGACGCCAGUCAUUGUGGAGGCGACCUUGAAAUACCACCCUUUAACGUUUGAUGUUCUAACGAAGAUGACGAAACGUGGUCUCGGACAGUGUCUGGUGGGUAGUUUGACUGGGGCGGUCUCCUCCCAAAGCGUAACGGAGGAGCACGAAGGUUUGCUAAUCACGGUCGGACAUCGUGAGGUUAGUGCAAUGGUAUAAGCAAGCUUAACUGCGAGACAGACAAGUCGAGCAGGUACGAAAGUAGGUCAUAGUGAUCCGGUGGUUCUGAAUGGAAGGGCCAUCGCUCAACGGAUAAAAGGUACUCCGGGGAUAACAGGCUGAUACCGCCCAAGAGUUCAUAUCGACGGCGGUGUUUGGCACCUCGAUGUCGGCUCAUCACAUCCUGGGGCUGAAGUAGGUCCCAAGGGUAUGGCUGUUCGCCAUUUAAAGUGGUACGCGAGCUGGGUUUAGAACGUCGUGAGACAGUUCGGUCCCUAUCUGCCGUGGGCGUAGGAUGAUUGAUUGGGGCUGCUCCUAGUACGAGAGGACCGGAGUGGACGCAUCACUGGUGUUCCGGUUGUGUCGCCAGACGCAUUGCCGGGUAGCUAAAUGCGGAAGAGAUAAGUGCUGAAAGCAUCUAAGCACGAAACUUGCCAAGAGAUGAGUCAUCCCUGACUUUAAGUCAGUAAGGGUUGUUGUAGACUACGACGUAGAUAGGUUGGGUGUGUAAGUGAUGUGAGUCAUUGAGCUAACCAAUACUAAUUGCCCGAGAGGCUUAACUAU